AUUUUAUAAAAGAUAGUAAAUAUCAAUAGACUUCUUGCAAAUUUUGAUAUUUUUUUGGAGGUUCUAGUGUAAUUAAAUAUGAAAUAGUAAAAUACACGUGAUUUCAAUUGAAAUUUGAGUAAAUUUGGAGAGACUUUUAAAAAGUAUUGAAUAACGCGGCAGUAUUGAAAGGAACUUCGAAGAGUGAACUUUAAUUGUGAAUUUAGUUAAUGUAAAUCAAUAAUAAAAAGAACACAAAAAAAUUAAAAAAUAGUGCAAACAAAUUAAAAACUAGUGCAAAUAAAUUAUAAAACAGUGUAAACCAAUUCAAAAGAAAUAAGUUUAAAAGACAGUUUUAUAAAAAAUAAAAAACAUAUUUUGGAGGUUUGUAAUUCUCAAAAUAUGGACGUUGGGGCUUCUUUUGUCUAUUUGGUGGAAAAAGGUAUUAAUAAGGAUGUUGCAGAAAUUUUGAGAAAUUGCAAAACUGAAAACAUUCUCCAAAACAAAACUUCAAUCGUAUAAAAUAUUUAAUGAACGAGACAUUUUAAAAUCGUAGAUUUGAAGUUGGAUAUUUAAACAUAUUGGAUACUUACCUAACAUUUCUUGCCUACAAGGGCACAAUUAUUAAAAAUGGAUUGGAGCUCUUAAAAAGUAAAAGAUUUAACAUUCAAGUAUUGGAAAACCUUAACUUAGAACCAUUUUAUAGGAAGGAAACAGAAUUUCUCCAAUAUGAAAACUUAAGAAAAAUAUUUAUACUUUUGAAAAUGCUGCCAAGAAGAAAUUUGAAAAAAAGCAAUUGCUUUGAUUGCGAGUAAUUUAGAUGAUUGGGAAAAACUUGUUGCAGAGGAAGAUUUAAUAUCCCUCGUUUUAGAGAUUGAUAUUAAUGCUAAUAUAGAAAAUGUUUUAGAUAACGAAACAAUAAGCAACCGUAUCUCGUUUACAGAUGUACUGAAAAAUUUUCACGCCUGACUGAAAACAUUUAUUUAGUAAUUGACGGAAAAAUUAUGGAGUGCGCAAACGAUUUUCUUACAGCAUUUGAUACUCUUUUCAAAAUUCAUUACGUCUUGUAAUUUAAAAUUUGAUAAAAAAAUUUUGAAGUUGUUAAAUUUUUUCGAAGUUUAUAUAUACAAAAUGAAAAAUGUAAAAUGGUACUGUUUCGGUGUUAUAUUAAAAAAUUAUCAAUUAAUGUUAUUUAGUGUUUGGUUAUAUUAUAAAAUUUUCAUAAUUUUAUGUAUGUAAAUGUUGUAAAAUGAUAUACAUAGAUGACAAAUCAUUUAAAUACACCUUAUAAUAAUAUUAUAUCAAAAACAAAGAAAUGUACCACUCUUUAUACAUAUACAUAUUUUAUCUUUAAGAAGUAGGAAUGUUAAUUAUUUAUUAUUUCUUUUCUUUUUUGAAAAAUAUUAUACCUGAUUAUGUAUGUAGAUAAAUAUGAAUACUAAUACUAAAAAUGUAUUAUGACCAAAUAAUUAUAUAUUUUUUAUUAUCGGUUAAAUUUAGAAGUGCUGUAGCACGUUUCAUAUUCUUUUUCUAUAAUUAAUAAUCCUACAAAACAGUUUGUUUAUGAGAGGAUAUACACGUAUGCGUAGCAUUGAUUUCUAAUUUUUUGAAUUAACUUAAGUGUGCAAUGUAAUAAUGAUAUCACAACUUCAAAAUUAAAAAAAUGUAUGUAUUUAAAAAAAUAUAUUGCUAUGUUAAAUUUAAAUGAAAAAACGUAAGAACAUUAUCAUAGAACUUUUUGUCAAACGCUAUAAAAGUCAAAAAUAAAAACCAUAAUUUGUUAUGUAA